CAAAUCACCUUUUUUUAUUUAGAUCAGGAGGAUUUCCUAGGACUAUAUAAAGCGGUCUUUAAGACUAAAUGUGAAGAUCCUUGGAUUAUGUCACCAAGAAUUUCUCUGCUUUCUUUGAAAGAAUUCACUGUUUGUGUGCACCUCAAGCUAAAUUCCUCCAAUAGUCCCUGGACAGCGUAUGUAUACAAUCAAGAGACAACUAACAGCAAUACCUCUGCAAAUAAGCAUGACCUUGGACUUAGCGGAGAUCGUGGUAACUUGAGGAUCUGGUUGUUUGGAAAUCAGAUAAAUACAACAGAGAUGAUGCUUCAAGAAAACAUCUGGCACCAAAUAUGUACCCAGUGGAAAAGUGAAGAUGAGGAAGUGAAGUUAUUCAUAAAUGGAAAAAAAAGACUAAAUGAAAAACUAAAUAGAAAAAUGUCUCUCCCUGAAAAAGGGCAGUUCUUACUUGGCUGCUCAAAACUGCCAGGUGCAGCUACAUCGCCUAAUCAGGGUAUGACUGGGGAGCUGUACAUGUUCAGAAUGUGGGAUAAAGCAAAUAUAAAUCUUGCUAAGCACUGCAGAGAUGGUAGUAUUGUACGCUGGAGAAAGGAGGAUUGGAUGUUUAAUAAGACAGUAGAAGAGGACGACUCUUUGCCGUGUGUUACAGAAGAAACUACCAGACCUGCAGAAGCAUCAAUUGCAACAGCCACUUCUG
rnacentral:lncRNA from 1 species